AUGCCUUAAAUUUAUGAGUAAGGAAAAUUAUGAUUUGCGGGUAUGCCCAAAUCCUCAAAAAAAAAAAAAGAAUUACACUUUGUUCGAGCUACUUGGCAGCU
rnacentral:snRNA from 1 species